rnacentral:rRNA from 1 species
AUAGAACGCUGGCGGCAUGCCUUACACAUGCAAGUCGAACGGUAACAGGUCUUCGGAUGCUGACGAGUGGCGAACGGGUGAGUAAUACAUCGGAACGUGCCUAGUAGUGGGGGAUAACUACUCGAAAGUGUGGCUAAUACCGCAUGAGAUCUACGGAUGAAAGCAGGGGAUCGCAAGACCUUGUGCUACUAGAGCGGCCGAUGGCAGAUUAGGUAGUUGGUGGGAUAAAAGCUUACCAAGCCGACGAUCUGUAGCUGGUCUGAGAGGACGAUCAGCCACACUGGGACUGAGACACGGCCCAGACUCCUACGGGAGGCAGCAGUGGGGAAUUUUGGACAAUGGGCGAAAGCCUGAUCCAGCAAUGCCGCGUGCAGGAUGAAGGCCUUCGGGUUGUAAACUGCUUUUGUACGGAACGAAAAGCCCCGGGUUAAUACCCUGGGGUCAUGACGGUACCGUAAGAAUAAGCACCGGCUAACUACGUGCCAGCCGCCGCAGUAA